GAUAUAAUAUUUGGAUUUGAUAUGGGAUUUUGGGUUUGAUAUUGGGCAUUGAAUGGGAUUAGCACUGAAUGGGAUUUGGAUUUGAUAUGGGCUUGUUAUAGGAUUCGGAUUUGGAUUGGUAUAGAUUUUGGAUUUGAGUUGAUUUGGAUUUGGACUCAAUUUGGGGUUGAGAUUUGGGCUUGGGUUUAAUUAUUUAAGAUUUGGGUUUGAAUUUGGAUUUGAGCUUGAU
rnacentral:lncRNA from 1 species